CCCUUAGAUGUUCUGGGCUGCACGCGCGCUACACUGAUGCACUCAACGAGUUUACGACCUUGCCCGAUAGGGUUGGGUAAUCUUUUUAAAAUGCAUCGUGAUGGGGAUAGAUUAUUGAAAUUAUUAAUCUUCAACGAGGAAUUCCUAGUAAGCGCGAGUCAUCAGCUCGUGCUGAUUACGUCCCUGCCCUUUGUACACACCGCCCGUCGCUCCUACCGAUUGAGUGCUCAGGUGAAUAAUUCGGACUGCAGCAAUGUUUGGAUCCCGAACGUUGCAGCGGAAAGUUUAGUGAACCUUAUCACUUAGAGGAAGGAGAAGUCGUAACA
rnacentral:rRNA from 1 species